rnacentral:rRNA from 1 species
AACGUAGGAGACAAACGUUAUCCGGAGUUACUGGGCGUAAAGGGCGUGCAGGCGGUCGACUAAGUCUGGCGUGAAAGCUCGCGGCUAAACCGCGAGAGGUCGUUGGAUACUGGUUGACUAGAGGACGGUAGAGGCGUGUGGAAUUCCGGGUGUAGUGGUGAAAUGCGUAGAGAUCCGGAGGAACACCAGUGGCGAAGGCGACACGCUGGGCCGUACCUGACGCUAAGACGCGACAGCAUGGGGAGCGAAC